AUGGGGCAAUUGUGCUCCACCUUUCCUCUGGGCAGCCACCAGCUUUGGCUCCUGCUCAUGACUGAAUCCCUACACCGUCCGCUCCUAGGUCCAGGCUCUGGGACAGCCCUGAUGGCUCUGCCUGCCGCUGUGGCUGUUUGGAGCCUCGGAGAGUCUUGUCUUUGCAGAUGGCCUCAAGCUGAUCUUCUCACCUCUCACCAGCGAUAAAGAACCUUUCUAUCCCUCCUCAAAGACACUGUGGUGUCUGGAGCAUCACUGCAUCGUCACGUUAUGCCACACAGGAACCAAGCUGCUUCCUUUGGGUGUCUACCCUGUCGGAAGGAGCCAGAAAUCGCGGGGCGCCAGAUCCAGUGAAUAAAGUGGAUGAGGACACACUAACGUUUGCACGGGCCUGCCUGUCUGUGGGUGGCCCCUGGCAGCAGCGGUUCAUUGUGUUUUCGGUCGCACCUUGCAAAGAUGCUUGCGAGAGAGCACUUCCAGGACUGCUUCAGAG